rnacentral:lncRNA from 1 species
CCAGUUCUUGUCAUCCUUUGUGUAUACAUUGGCCUUUAGUAGCUGGGGAAUAUUAGAUCAACAGCCACUUUAUCAGGUACUUAGCUUGCUUUCUUCAACUGUGCAUAAAAGUUUCCUGACUCCACCUGGACUGCUUAUAUUGAUUUUCUCUGACUACCCAUCAUCUUCCAGGGUGUCAGUAUAUUCCCAUAUUCCAAAGAUUGUAAUUUCCUCCUCCUACAGAGGUUCAGAUUUUCACAUAACAGGAGACUUAGAACAUCUUACUCAUCUUAGUAUAGGAAAGGACAUAGGGCAACAAAGGAAAGACCUUAUGUCCAUGUGUCUAUGUGGGGUCCCACUCCAAGGACUGCUCUCAUUACACAGUGGCUCAUUUGCUUCUAGCUCCUCUUCCCAUAGUAUAGCAAUGUUCCAUCCACAGAUGUCGUCCAUCAUCAGCAACCAAGAUGAAGACUUACUGAACUACAUGUUGAGCUUGAGGUAAUCAUGGAUGACCUGUGGCCAAAUCCUCUUUACUGUUAACAUAAGGAAGAGCACUCAUGAAGGGAGAAUUAGGACCUUGUCAGGAUACAGAGCAGAGCAUUUCUGACUGUAGGCCAUUAAUGACCAUACACCACAUGUGGAAUUGACUGAGAUAAAUACUGGCAAAGGUC